rnacentral:rRNA from 1 species
AACGUAGGUUCCGAGCGUUAUCCGGAUUUACUGGGCGUAAAGCGCGUUCAGGCGGUUUGACAAGUCGGGCAUGAAAUCUCCCGGCUCAACUGGGAGAGGUCCUUGCAUACUGGCGAACUCGAGGGAGGCAGAGGAAAGUGGAAUUCCCGGUGUAGUGGUGAUAUGCGUAGAUAUCGGGAGGAACACCUGUGGCGAAGGCGGCUUUCUGGGCCUUACCUGACGCUGAGACGCGAAAGCGUGGGGAGCGAACCGG